AGACAACUAGGAUGUUGGCUUAGAAGCAGCCAUCAUUUAAAGAGUGCGUAAUAGCUCACUAGUCGAGUGACACUGCGCCGAAAAUGUACCGGGGCUAAACAUAUUACCGAAGCUGUGGAUUGUCCUUUGGACAAUGGUAGGAGAGCGUUCUAAGGGCGUUGAAGCAUGAUCGUAAGGACAUGUGGAGCGCUUAGAAGUGAGAAUGCCGGUGUGAGUAGCGAAAGACGGGUGAGAAUCCCGUCCACCGAUUGACUAAGGUUUCCAGAGGAAGGCUCGUCCGCUCUGGGUUAGUCGGGUCCUAAGCUGAGGCCGACAGGCGUAGGCGAUGGAUAACAGGUUGAUAUUCCUGUACCACCUAUAAUCGUUUUAAUCGAUGGGGGGACGCAGUAGGAUAGGCGAAGCGUGCGAUUGGAUUGCACGUCUAAGCAGUAAGGCUGAGUAUUAGGCAAAUCCGGUACUCGUUAAGGCUGAGCUGUGAUGGGGAGAAGACAUUGUGUCUUCGAGUCGUUGAUUUCACACUGCCGAGAAAAGCCUCUAGAUAGAAAAUAGGUGCCCGUACCGCAAACCGACACAGGUAGUCAAGAUGAGAAUUCUAAGGUGAGCGAGCGAACUCUCGUUAAGGAACUCGGCAAAAUGACCCCGUAACUUCGGGAGAAGGGGUGCUCUUUAGGGUUAACGCCCAGAAGAGCCGCAGUGAAUAGGCCCAAGCGACUGUUUAUCAAAAACACAGGUCUCUGCUAAACCGUAAGGUGAUGUAUAGGGGCUGACGCCUGCCCGGUGCUGGAAGGUUAAGAGGAGUG
rnacentral:rRNA from 1 species